rnacentral:rRNA from 1 species
AACGAACGCUGGCGGCGUGGAUAAGACAUGCAAGUCGAACGAGAGAAUUGCUAGCUUGCUAAUAAUUCUCUAGUGGCGCACGGGUGAGUAACACGUGAGUAACCUGCCCCCGAGAGCGGGAUAGCCCUGGGAAACUGGGAUUAAUACCGCAUAGUAUCGAAAGAUUAAAGCAGCAAUGCGCUUGGGGAUGGGCUCGCGGCCUAUUAGUUAGUUGGUGAGGUAACGGCUCACCAAGGCGAUGACGGGUAGCCGGUCUGAGAGGAUGUCCGGCCACACUGGAACUGAGACACGGUCUAGACACCUACGGGUGGCAGCAGUCGAGAAUCAUUCACAAUGGGGGAAACCCUGAUGGUGCGACGCCGCGUGGGGGAAUGAAGGUCUUCGGAUUGUAAACCCCUGUCAUGUGGGAGCAAAUUAAAAAGAUAGUACCACAAGAGGAAGAGACGGCUAACUCUGUGCCAGCAGCCGCGGUAAUACAGAGGUCUCAAGCGUUGUUCGGAAUCACUGGGCGUAAAGCGUGCGUAGGCUGUUUCGUAAGUCGUGUGUGAAAGGCGCGGGCUCAACCCGCGGACGGCACAUGAUACUGCGAGACUAGAGUAAUGGAGGGGGAACCGGAAUUCUCGGUGUAGCAGUGAAAUGCGUAGAUAUCGAGAGGAACACUCGUGGCGAAGGCGGGUUCCUGGACAUUAACUGACGCUGAGGCACGAAGGCCAGGGGAGCGAAA